rnacentral:tRNA from 1 species
AAGGGUAUAGCUCAAGUGGUAGAGCACGUGCUUAGCAUGCAGGAGGGCCUGGGUUCAAUCCCCAGUACCUCCA